rnacentral:rRNA from 5 species
CGGCAGUAGCGCGGUGGUCCCACCUGACCCCAUGCCGAACUCAGAAGUGAAACGCCGUAGCGCCGAUGGUAGUGUGGGGUCUCCCCAUGCGAGAGUAGGGAACUGCCAGGC